rnacentral:rRNA from 1 species
UACGUAGGGGGCUAGCGUUGUCCGGAAUCAUUGGGCGUAAAGAGCGCGUAGGCGGCUAGAUAAGUCCGGUGUGAAAGUCACAGGCUCAACCUGUGAAUGCCGCUGGAAACUGUCUGGCUAGAGUCCGGAAGGGGCGAGUGGAAUUCCUGGUGUAGCGGUGAAAUGCGCAGAUAUCAGGAAGAACACCCGUGGCUAAGGCGGCUCUCUAGUACGGUACUGAUGCUGAGACGCGAAAGCGUGGGGAGCGAACAGG